rnacentral:tRNA from 1 species
GCAGUCGUGGCUGAGUGGUUAAGGCGUUGGACUAGAAAUCCAUUGGGGUCUCCCCGCACAGCUUCGAAUCCUGUCGACUGCG